GGUCAGUGAUGAUGUCAUAAAUCUCUGAUUGCACUGGUGAAUUGCACACCCACUACUUUCUCAGCUCCCAGCAGCUUUAUGCUUUCUAUCUCCCAUCCACACUUUAGUAAUGCUGUGAGGUGUUAUGAGGCUGCUGACAAUAUGUGGAUAAAGUCAGUGCAUGCUGCCAAAGUGUAAGCGGCUUGGCACCGACUCCUAUCUGACAAAGUGAGUCAAGGAGCCGGUAGUUUUGGGAUGUGUCUUAAUGUGCAUGAUCUUUAGUUUUCAAGCUGAGACC